CCCCAGGCUCGCGCCCGCCCCGGGCCGGUUCUUGUGAGCGUCAACUCUGUUGACUGCUUCGUGGUCGCCAACCCACGGGCACUGCUCUUAGUUUGUCACCGUGGUGGGAAGACGUUGGCCAAGAACUGUUUUCCUUGGAGAGAGCUCUCACACAGUCUGAGAGAAAAUUAGUAUUAAAGGUUGUCUGCUCUAGAGGAGAAAAGAGUGAUUCAAAGGACUGUGGAGACCUGAGAUGUCAGUGGAGGCACCUGGCAGUGAACUAUAUUGCUCUUACGAAUGGCUUUAUAAGGGGCACCUGGGUGGAUCAGUUGAUUAAGCCACCCGCUCUUGGUUUUGGCUCAGGUCAUGAUUUCACAGUUCCUGGGGUUCGAGCCCCCGCCAGGCCCCGAAAUCUUCCGAAAAGAAUCCUGGGCGAGGCCAGGCAAGCACGAGAAAGACUCGAAGCGUUCCAAGUGGGAACCUACUGGGCUCUGCUCAGAAGGAAACGCUGCAAAGAGUGCGGAGGAGCCGGGGGAGUGCGGGACGCCUCCUCUUGCCUUCAGAGCGUUGCCUCUUAACAGCAGAAGCUCACGCUAACUUGGCUUUGCUGUCAGUCUUGAGGGAGCCCCCCCAUUGGUCUCCUGCAGCGCAGUGCCCCAGCUCCCCCAGCCCGGGAUUGUCUAGUUUAUUAGGCACGUGUUAAACAGCCAGCCACGCCAGUGGGCAGGGUGUAAGAAAGUACCUGGCACCUGGAGGCGAAUGGAAAUAAAGCUGGAGUUCUGGUCCAGAUAAGGAAACUGAGGCUCAGAGGUGACUUGCCCAAGAUCACUUAUCCCCCAAAUCAGAGUGAAAUAAUGAGGAAGGCCUCAUCUAUUUGAGACUGUAUCUACUCAAGGUUGGAUCAAAUUGAAGAACAGAGUUGUGGAAACAGCACUGGACUGGCAGCCAGAGGACUUAGGAGUUUGCUGUGUGAUUUGGGUAAGCCCUUUUAUUGGCUGGCCUUUGGCUCUCUAUGUAUAUGAUGGAAAGGUAGGGCUGGAUGUGCCUUUCAGGACCAAAACUCUGAUGACUGCACAGAAGUAUUCACUGUAA